CUAAACCCAGCUAUAACCUCCCAACUUCAACUACUGCCUGCUAAACCCAGCUAUAACCUCCCAACUUCAACUACUGCCCACUAAACCCAGCUAUAACCUCCCAACUUCAACUACUGUCCCCCAAACCAGGAUGACCCAUAUCUCCCAGACGGAGUCUCAUCCCAGUCUGAGCCUGACCCCUCAACCGCCACUCUACACACAGGGACUUGCAUCUCACACACAUUGAUGUACAGGGUUACACACACACUCACUCACAUAGACAUAGACAUACUCUCACAUGUACAUUUACUGACACACACACACAUACUCUCACUUCUACAGUACACAUCCAUAUACACAAGGGCAAUGCUUAGAGUGACAAAUGGCUGACCAACACAGUACAAGAUCAAUGGGAUCAACCUAUAUCAUUAUUGAGAUAUACUCAGUCUACAUUGUCAUAAAUACACACAAUGUCGAACGCACACACACACACACAGCUGUUUGACUCCCUACCCACCCAAACGGCUAUCACUGUCCGACAUGUUUUGGUGCUGUCCACUCCCCAGUCCCCGCCUCUCUCCCAAUGCAAACCAAUCACGUCUGCUUCCCCCUUCCUGAUUCCCUGUGAGUUCUCAAAUGAGGGCGUCAGUCCACCUAUCAGCUCCAAGCCUAGAGCUACAGUCAAACUGCCAUGAAGCCCCGUUUAUCUGUCUGCACUGUUGUCACCAACCAACUGAUGUCGAUAAAGUUAUUUAUUUUGUUAUUUUGGACGGCGGGGGCUAAUCCAGGGCAGGUUUUAGAGGGGAUCACCGCAGCACUGCCAAUCAACCUUGUCUGUCGCAACAGGAAGGGAUGUCAGACACCGUGCCACAGGACUUCCUGUGAGACUUUAGAAAUACUGAUUUACCCCCUGCACCCCCUACCACUCAUCCCCUUGGCCAUAGCCACUUCUGCCCCCUUCACCCCUCUGACCCCCCAGACAACCACACAACCUCACCCUCCCCUCACCCCUCUUCACCCCUCCUCACUCAUCCCUCUUCACCCCUCUUCAACCCUCUUCACCCCACUUCAACCAUCUUCAACCCUCUUCACCCCUCUUCAUCCCGCUUCACCCCUCUUCAACGCUUCAACACUUCAUUCCUUCACCCCUCUUCAACGCUUCAACACUUCAUUCCUCCUCACCCCUCUUCAACCCUCUUCACCCCACUUCAACUCUCUUCACCCCCUUCAUCCCUCUUCACCCCUCUUCAACCCUCUCCCCCCACUUCAACUCCCUUCACCCCACUUCAUCCCUCUUCACCCCGCUUCAACCCUCUCCCCCCACUUCAUCCCUCUUCACCCCGCUUCAACCCUCUUCACCCCGCUUCAACCCGCUUCACCCCUCCUCACCCCUCUUCACCCCUCUUCAACUCUCUUCACCCCUCUUCAUCCCUCUUCACCCCUCUUCAACUCUCUUCACCCCUCUUCAUCCCUCUUCACCCCUCUUCAACCCUCUUCACCCCUCUUCACCCCUCUUCACCCCUCUUCAUCCCGCUUCACCCCUCUUCAACGCUUCAACACUUCAUUCCUUCACCCCUCUUCAACGCUUCAACACUUCAUUCCUCCUCACCCCUCUUCAACCCUCUUCACCCCACUUCAACUCUCUUCACCCCCUUCAUCCCUCUUCACCCCUCUUCAACCCUCUCCCCCACUUCAACUCCCUUCACCCCACUUCAUCCCUCUUCACCCCGCUUCAACCCUCUCCCCCCACUUCAUCCCUCUUCACCCCGCUUCAACCCUCUUCACCCCGCUUCAACCCGCUUCACCCCUCCUCACCCCUCUUCACCCCUCUUCAACUCUCUUCACCCCUCUUCAUCCCUCUUCACCCCUCUUCAACUCUCUUCACCCCUCUUCAUCCCUCUUCACCCCUCUUCAACCCUCUUCACCCCUCUUCACCCCUCCUCACCCCUCUUCAUCCCUCUUCACCCCUCUUCACCCCUCCUCACCCCUCUUCACCCCUCCUCACCCCUCUUCACCUCUCCUCACCUCUCCUCACCCCUCUUCACCCCUCUUCACCCCUCUUCACCCCUCCUCACCCCGCUUCACCCCUCCUCACCUCUCCUCACCCCUCUUCAUCCCUCUUCACCUACCCCCCAACACAUCCUCAAGACUACAUACACCUCCAUACACUCAUACUGACAUGAUUUCUGAAUGUCUAAAUUGAGAUCCGUCCACCUCUGUCUGUCUUUCUGUCUGUGUGUCUGUCUGUAUGUCUUUUACUCUGUCUGUUGUUUACAAAUGUACCUGUCUGUCUCCAUCUACAGGUAGUCAGAGUACUGUCUGUCUUUUGGACCCGUACAAAAGUAUUUUUUCUAUUAGCAGAUGUGACUUGGUAUGGAUUAUUAUUUUUAAAGAUAUGUGUUUUUUGUUUUAUUAAUUGAUGAUUUGUUGAAUUUAACAGAGUUUUAAUGUUUUUUAACCCACUGUUUUAUAUAAUUUAAUUUAUUUGUAUUUAUUUCAGCAAUAUGUCCUUAAUGCCUUCUUCUUAGACCGUAUACUUUAGGGUUCAAAAUCUCUGCGUUUGUCUCCCAAAUGGCACCCUAUUCCCUUUAUAAUACACUUAUUUUUGUCAAAGAUAGUGCACUAUAUAGGGAAUAGGGUGCCUUUUGGGAUGCACAUUGUCUUUAUGUUUCUUUGAAUUAAUGUGUGUGUACGUGCAGGCAUGUAUGUGCUUGUGUGUGUUUUCAAUAUAACAGGGCAUAUACAUCACAUGUUCAUAUGCACAUACAUGUUGAUAUGUGACCCUGAUAUGUACAGUAGGUGUCUCUGUGUGUCUGAGAGUUAAGUCCUGCUGUGUUUUUUAGUUCUGUUCAUUUGUGUUGCAUUUUUUGGUGACAGGUUUAUAGGAAUGGAUGCUUGUGAACUUCCCAUCCCUUGAGACCACACACACACACACACACCAUCCUUAGCCUAAUUACCAUUCUCGCAGAAGGACUCUCAUGCUCUUGCAUUCACGGAAUCUCUCAUACACUAACAUAUUGUGUGUGUGUGUAUUUGAAGCCCUCAUACACUAAAAUAUUGUGUGUGUGUGUGUAUUUGAAGCCCUCAUACACUAACAUAUUGUGUGUUUGUGUGUGUGUGUACUUGAAGCUUUCACACAAUCACAUAUUGCGUGUGUGUGUAUUUGAACCUCUCAUACACUCAGGUAUUGUGUGUGUGUGUACUUGAAGCUUUCACACAAUCACAUAUUGUGUGUUUGUGUGUAUUUGGCGCUCUCACACACUCAAAUAUUGCGUGUGUGUAUUUGUGGUAGAAUUAUCUUUUCUAUGUUAAACUGGGUGUAUGUGACAAUAAAAAAACAUCUCAAUCUAAAGAGAUAAAGUGGAUCAGUGAAGGAGAGAGAGAGAGUUAUGUUUCCUCUGUCACCCUACCCCACUGCAUCCUGAUACACACUCACACACACACACACACUACACAGAACAUGACCAACGUGUACAUUGGACCACUGUACAGACCAACGUGGAAAAUACAACAAGAUUGCCAUAACAACACAAGUAAAUAAAGCAUCACACGUACAGUACGUAACUAUGGAAACAGCUGUGGAAAUAAUUGUAACAACAGGGUGUUGUUGUUUUUUGUUAGUAUUAUUAUGUUCUGGGUGUGAGCCAGACAAUGAUGGUCAAGUUUUUUGAUAGAGGUCUCUUUCUCCAUCUGUGAAUUGGCCUUCUUAGUGUUUCUCUAAAGAACAUUUAAACAACAGAAAUUUGUGCCAUUGUCAACUCUUCCUAUGAUCAAUGGUGCGUCCCAAAUGGCACCAUAUUCCUUAUAAAUAGCACUACUUUUGACAUAAACCUGGUGGGCUCUGGUCAAAAGUAGUACAUUAUAUAGGGAGCAGGGUGCCAUUUGGGAGGUACACUAAAUGUUUCUUUACCAAGACAACUGCAACACUUCUGGCCGCUGAUACAUUUAGCUCUGUGGAGUUGUUUCCCAAGCAAAGAUGCUAUAGAAAUAUAAGAUACCAUAGACAGGAUGAUGGUGUAACUAGUCGUGUGUGUGUGUGUGUGUGUGUGUGUGUGUGUGUGUGUGUGUGUGUGUGUGUGUGUGUGUGUGUGUGUGUGUGUGUGUGUGUGUGUGUGUGUGUGUGUGUGUGUGUGUGUGUGAAGGAACAGUAGAUAGAAUAGAAUGCAGUGAUGUCAUGCAUUGACCCAGCAAAUCGAUCGAAUCAGCAUGCAGAACUUUGGGUCACUACUCUUUUAAAAACAUAAAGUUACUAAAAAAACAAAACAUGAAAAAAUAUACAUCAAAUACUUACAGAAAGGAUUUACAAUAUUUAGCUUAAAAAAAGUUUCCACUUAUAAGAGAUGUGAUUUGAAAUCUCUUAUAUAUCUUUGUUUUCAAUGAUUACUGUUGGUUCUCAUUUUUUAUUUGUUGCUACACGUUCUUCUUAUAGUCAGUGUCCAUACUGUUAUUAUAAUUAUUAAUGUAAUUAAAAUGACUGAUAUUGAACAUAAGUAAGGUGGGAGUCAGCUGCUAUGUACUCUGUACUCUUCACCUCCUCUUCUUCCUCUUCCUCCUCCUCCCUGCUCCUCAACGUUUUAUGUUCUAUUUUAACAUCAACUGUAUGUCAAUCACACUCUGUUGGAGAGAAGACUUGGGAAGUAAAAUGGACAUUGUUUAAUAAACUAUUCAAAUGUGAAAUA
rnacentral:lncRNA from 1 species